ensembl:lncRNA
CAGAGACAGACAUCUGUUAGUUUUUGUCUGUGUGUCUUGGGUUUCUGUUUUGUCUUAUUUGUGACUUUAAUGAUGGGACUGACCAUAACCACCUGCCUCGGCCUGACUUUUGACUUUUGACCAUUGGAUGCAUGUUAAGGAACAUAGUCAGUUAAAGUUACAACACCUCCUUUCGUUGAGUCAUGUGGUGCCACACUAGGUAACUUUCUUUUUCUGUCUUUGUUUCUGUAUGGUUUCUGUGAAGUCUGGAGGAUUGGAACAGGCUAGUUAAGCGCGUUUGUAAUCUGAUCUGUUGCAAUCCACAGUCUGCCUGCCUGCUUUUCGGUGCUGUAUGUCUGCUGUUUUUGUUAUUUGUGCUGUGUGCUUGUUAAGCAUCUCUCUGUGUCCGUACCACCCAUGCAUGUGGCAUGUGUAGGUCAGAGGUCUUUUCUUGCUGCCCUGAGCACAUGGCGUGCGGGGACUGGAGUUACUCUGCCAUGUGCCAUGGGUUAGAGUGUGCUGCAGCGGAGUCUCCUGUCUCCGAGCACAUGGUGAGACUGCUGCUCUGGACUCCAGCUACUGCUGCACCUCACCCCCUCAUCUGAGCCUGGCUGGUGCAGGUAAGUCUAUCCCUCCAUCCUCACCUGCCCAUCUGUGAGGCAUGCAAAGUGGGGCUCUCUCUGCCCCAACUACCAUCCUGCUGCAGGUCCUAGCAUGCGGCGGGAGUUUCCUUGCCCUGAGCACAUGGCUUGCAAGGCCACCAUUUGCCUGGCUGCCUGGCCUUCUCUGUGCUCCACACACGUGGUAUGCAGAAUGUUGGAGCAGGGAAGCUGCAGGGGGUCUCCUUCCUGCCCCCGCAUGGUCAGAGGGUCUGGGCUUACCAGCAGCCACCCCCAGGCCUCAGCCUUGAGCACACAGUGCAGGGCGGGUAAGCCAAAACAGAAUGGCCUUAAGGUUAUUAAAAACUACAAGAAGGACUUUGAUAAGAGUUUUUAUGUUGACUGAGAAAUGAGAGAAAAUGUAGGAGACUAAACUAAUAUAAAGAGGGAAAGGGAGAGAAAAAUUUGUCUAAGAAUGUCUAAGGAAAUCAGAGGAAUGAAAUGAGGGUAUAUAGAAAGUUAUAGAGGGUCAAAGCAAGUCGUAGAAGGUUAGAGGAAAGUUGCCAAAAGUCAGAGGAAAAGUUGUUAAAAGUCAGAGAAAAAAUGUAAACUAUUUGCUAUGGUUUCUCAUGUCUACAAAUAGUAAAUUUCAAAAAUUGUUAAUAUAAGCUAAAAAUUUAACCAUAUUAAGUUAAUUCUGUUUAAAAAGUUCUGUUUAUUUCUCAAGUAAAUGUAUGCUUGUUUUAAAAAGUUCUGUUUCUGGCAUAACCUAAGUUAUGUUACAAGCAUACAGCUAAAACAAAUGGUGCAGGUCACUGCCAUUUUGCAACCAGCCUCAUGGCAAGCUGAUCACAUGGCUGGCUGGUAGCCAUUUUGCUGAAGUUGAAAAAAGAUACUUGAACCGCCAUCUUGACUAAAGGUGACCACAUGGAAAUUAGGAGGUACCAUCUUAUAAACAAGUUUUUCAAUUAAGAUUUAAAAUGUUAAUGUUUCUAUAUGUUACAGAAAGACAUUAAUGUUUGCACUUUUAAAAUUUUAAUGCUUACAUUAAGGGAUUUUAAAUUUCUUUUUUAAACCAGUUUUUUGAAUGUUUAUGUUUUUUAAAGUGUUUCUAUUAAUAUUUGUACUUAAAGAGCUUCAAUUUAGAAUCAUUUUUUAAGCAAAGCCUGACACUGUAAAGUUCUUGUUUUAUAAAAGCUGCUAACCUAUUUUAAAAUGUUAAAAAUACAAAUUAAUAUAGCUUAUGUUUUCAGAAGUUAAGUUUAAGCAAGAAGCUAAAAUGUGCACACGUAGUUACUGUUUAUUCAUCUGUGCUAACUUUCAAAUAUUUUACUAAGUUAAAACCGGUUACAAUCAGACUGAAAAUUAAUUAAUUACAGAAAUAAGACUUUACCUAGCCACCUGUGUGCUUAAUGUGUGCUUAAGACAAGUAACUAAAACAGACAGACAGACCUCUAAUGCUUCAGAGACCUGCAGAAUACGGCAUUUAAAACAUUAUUUUAAAAGUUUGUAAUAUCAGACAGACUGCCAGAUCCUGACAGUGACCCAAAGUCUCCAAAGAAGAUUAUGAGGCACCCCAGUUCCUGCACCUGGAUGAUGACGAUGCUGACCAGUGAGCAAGAUGCUCAGACAUGAUACCUGCUUCUUGCCAGGACCUGGCCAAGACUGUGAACAAAGCUGCUGCACACUGGAAAAUUGAUUGCACCCCCUUUGCCUACACAAAACAAGACACAUCUGAGUAUCAGUUGCUGACUACAGGCUGUUCCUAAGUAGACUUCGAGCCUUGGACUUAUGGAUGUGAACCAGUACGUCUGAUGCGGACACCUCCUGUCUCAGAGUCUACAAACCAGAAGCCCCUGAUGGAUUCCCCAUUGCCUAAAUUACCUUUUUGCUUUUGACUAGCAUUUCAGCCUUCUUGGGUCCCUAACUUCAUCCCUAAGUCAGCAGAAAGUAGCAUGGGAAUGAAUAUGUCACCCAUUUUCACUGGUUGAAAUGCUAAGUCAGAAGGAACUCCCUUACAUAGGGGAUGCCAAUACCUCUUACUCCCUGAUGGGGAUGCUGGAGAGAGCAAUUCCAUGAUUGGAAUUUCCAAGAAAGAAAAUGGGGGAAUGAAGGGACCAGCUCCCCAUUUCAGCAGCCAUAACACCCUAGCACAUGCUUGCCUGAACUUGCUUUGGUCACUAGGAGGUUAGAUGCCUGCCUUGUGGCAAGGAACCAAUCAGAAGUUAGCUGGUGGUGCUAUGCUUUAUGGCUCUGGGUGUGCUUUACAGACAAGUGCACAGCAAUGACGUGCAGAGUAUAGCUACCGCCCUGGGAGGGCCUAUGGGCCAUAACAACCAGUUGACCAAUCAACACAGGGCAAACCCUCCAAGCCUGGAGGCACACCAAUCUUGAGCCUGUGUGUACUCCUAGACACUCCCCUUAUGCUGCCCUAUAAGAUCUCUAUGCCGUGGCUUUGCCGAAUCUUUCCUAGCCAUCUGCCAUGGUGGAUGGGUGAAAGGCACGAACUAACAUGGGGUUAGCUCAUUAAACAACUGCAAUAAAGCUUCUUGCUGUUUGCAUAAAACAAAACAAAACAAAACAAACAAAAGUUUCAGGUAAAAUGGUAGAUUAGAAGUCCCAAGUCAGCAAAAGGAAAUGGUCAGGCUUAUACUGAUUAGUCUCUGUGCUUCUAAGAGAAAAUAGCUACACAUGAAUUUCCUAAGCCAGGUGUAAUCUCUGUGGGGAACCAAGCAAGUGUAGCUGCAAACCUGUGCCCUGCUCCGCCACACAGCUCUAUGUAAGGCCAACAGGCACCACCAGAGGAGUGUUCCUCCACUACACAUACUAGCACUGAAGGAACAGACAACUUAAUGAUCAAGGGCUGGUCAGACUUUUGAUAGUGAGAACCAGGGCCAGUUCAGGCUGUGAAGGCUGGAACUAAAAAGCUUAAAGCAGAGUUUUAACUUUAGAGUGGCUGAGAUCAGUGGGGACUGGCAGACAAAAACAUGUACCAUACUUUCUCCCCAGUACUAGUGCAAAUAAGGAGAAAGGGAUACUGGAAAAAUUAAAUUGAAAUGUUAUAACUGAACAGUCUCAAUCCAAAUAAAAACUCAGUAGAAAGUCAUGCCAAUAGGACAAAGCAGACAGAAGCCAGACUACUUUCAGCCUACUUGAAAUGGAAUCAAGAUGGAUGAUUUAAAACAUCCAAUCACUAACAAAGAUAACAAGAAGGUAUGAACACAAUAUAAUAGAUAUGUGGGACAUCAUGAAAGAACACAGUUAUGAAUCAUUGGGGUUGAUUACGAAGAACUGUAGAUAAAAAUAUAAAUGAUGUAUUCAAUAAAAUCAUAGCCAAAAUUUUCCUAAAUCUAAGGAAAGAGGUGGCCAUACAGCUUGAGGAGGUAUUUAGAAUGCCAAAUUAUGCAUUGAAAAAGAAUCUUCACAUGCCGUAUUGUAGUUGAAACACAUAACAUUGAGAAUAAACAAAAAUAUGAAAGCUAUGAGAAGUAAAAAGCCAUAUAUAACUGCAUACUAAUCAAAAUCACAGUACCUUUCUCAACAAAUCUCUAAAAGCCAGGAGUACUCUAAACUCUGAAAGAAAUAACCAUCAAUUACUGGGUUACAAUACCCAGUGAAACUAUCCUUCAUAAUUAAAGGAGAAAGAAAAACAUUUUAUGAUAAAUGCCAAAGGAAUUCAUAGACAAUAAGCCAGCAAUGCAGAAGAUACUUUAAGGGUCUAUCACACUGAAGAGACAGAUAAACAUCCUUGAAGGGUAUGAUGGUUUGCAUAGAAAUGCCCACCACAGGCUCAUAUAUUUGAAUGCUUGGUCAUUAGGGAGUGACACUACUUGAAAGGGAUUAGGACACCCCUUGUUAAAGUAGGUAUGUCCUGGUUGGAAGAAGUGUGUCACUGGGAGUAGGAUUUGGUGUUUCAAAUGCUCAAGCUAGGCCCAGUUUCUCUCUUUCUACUACCUGCAAAUCCAGAUGUAUAACAUGCUAAGAAAAUUAGGUAAUCAAUCUCAUUCUCAAGAGUUUAAACAAAUACUUAGGAAUAAAUUAACCAAGGAAGUGAAGAAUCUUAAGAGUGAAAAAUUUAAGAGGAAAGACUACCAUACUCAUGAAUUGGUAGAAUUAAUAUAAUAAAAUAACUAUCAUCAAGAGCCAUUUAUAGAUUCAAUGUAAUCUUCAUAAAAAUUUCAUUUUUGUUCUUAAAAAGAAAAUAUCAGACUAAAAUUCAUGUGGAGGUACUUAAGACCCUGGAUGGACAAAACAAUCCUAAGGAGGGAAAAAUGGAGAUAUUCCCACACAUAAAUUCAAUUCUACUUGAAAGAAAUAAUAGCAAAAAUCAUUAUGGUAUUGGCACGAAACAGACACAUUGAUCAGUGGAAUAAAACAGAGGGCCCAAAAUUAUAGCGACAUAGCUACAGCUUAUGAGUUCUUAAAUUUUUAUUACUUUAUUCUAUGGCAUGAGUGUUUUUCUGGCAUAUCUCUCUUUGUACAUGUAUGCCUAGUACUUGUGGAGGCCCAAAGAGGGCAUCAGAUGCUCUGGAACUGGAUUCACAGAUGGUUGUGGAUCAUCAUAUGAGUGCUGGGAAUAUAACAGGUGUACUCUGGAAGAUGAGCCAGUGACUUAGUCACUGAGCCAUCUCUCUAGCCCCCAGCCACCUGGUUUUAGACAAAGUUGCUAAAAAUACAAAUUUGAGGAAUGACAGUCUCUUCAACAAAUGAUGCUUUGAAUGUAAGAAUGAAAUUGGACCUCCACCUCCUCUCAAUACAAAAAUCAACUUGCAAUGGAUCAAGGACCUUAUUGCAAAACUUGAAAAUCUGAAACUACUGAAGGAAGAGAGUACACUUCAAGGUAUAGGCAUCAGUAAAGACUGUCUGAAUCGUACAUAAGUUAUACAGGAAAUAAGGCCAACAACUGACAAAUGGGACCUUAUGAAGUUAAAAAGGUUUCUUCACAGUGAAAUAAUCAAUUAAGUGGAUAGACAACCCACCAAAUGAGAGAAAAAUCUUUGCUAGUUAUAAAUCUGAUAGAGACUGAUAUCUAGACUAUAUAAAGAACCUAAAAAUAAAAGAAACUAAACACGAGAUUGAAAAACCCAAUCAAUAAAUAGACUAAUGAACAAUUCUCAGAAGAUUAAAUACUGAGUUCAAGUACCCACGUACAAUCAUUCACAAUGAUCAAGUUGGCUUUAUUUCGGAGAAUCGGGGAUUGUUCAAUACUUGUAGAUUAAUAAAUGUUAUAAAUUACAUAAGUGAGGGCUGGAAAAAUGACUCAACAGGUAAAAGUGCCUGUUUCCAAGGCUGAUGGCCUGAGUCUGACCUCUAGGACUCACAUGGUGGAAGAAAAGAACUGACUCCCUUAAGUUGUCCUCUUCACCACUACAUAUGAGCUAUGCAACACACACAUAAAACAAUAAUGAAUAAAUUAGAUAGAUAUACAUAAUAACAUAUUUGUGUGGCCAUUUUGAUAGAUGCUGAAUUUUUUAAAUAAAACAUAAUAUCUCUUCAUGUUCACCUGUUAACCCAAAAUAGAAAAAAAUAUACCUUAAUAUAAAAGUGAUUUAUGACAAACAUGUAGCCAGUAUUGUAUUAGUAGGAGGAAAUUCCAAGCAUUUCCACUAAAACUAAAAAUAAGAAAAGGGUAUCCACUUUCUUCACUCAUAUUCAGUGUAGAAGCAGAAGAUUUAUCUAGAACAAAAAGCAAGAGAAGCAAAUAAAAGGAAUGCAAAUCUCCCCAGCACUGGGAUUACAAACAUAUACCAGUCUGUCUGGCUUUUUAUGUCCUGGGGAUUGGAUUCAUGUCCUCAUGCUUACAAGGCAAGCACUUAGCCACUUGAACUAUCUUCCCAGUCCCUACACAGUGGAGUUUUGUUCAGAUAUAAAGAAGAAUGAAUUAUGUCACUUGCUAGAAUAUGGAUAGAACUAAAGGGAGUUUGUUAAAUGAAAUAAACCACACACAAAAAUAUAAAUAUUGUGUGUUUUCUCUCCUUUGUAGAUCCAUGUUGGAUAUAGCUAUAUGAAACCAUAUUCACAUGAAAACAGAAGGGAUGCCCAAAGAAAGGGAGAGAGGAAACUAGUAGAGAGGCAAAGUGGGAGGGAGGAGGAGGUCUUGGGGUAGAAAUGGAGGGUCUGGAGGGGGUGGUGGAUGUCAUUGGAAUAUGUAGUGCAAUGUUUUACUCUUUGGCCUUUCUGAGGGGCUGGCCACCCACCUUCCAAAUAAAUCACACAUGGAGGCUUCUUCUUAUUUUUUUAAAUUAGAAACAAGAUUGUUUUACAUGUCAAUCCCAGUUCCCUCUCCCUCCCCUUCUCCCCUACCACUCCCCUCAACUAAAACCCUACCUAUCACAUAUCCUUUCUGCUUCCCAGGGAGGGUGAGGUCUUCCAUAGGGAGUCAUCAGAGUCUAUCAUAUCCUUUGGGAUAGGGCCUAGGCCCACCCCUGUGUGUCUUGGCUCAGGGAGUAUUCCUCUAUGUGGAAUGGGCUCCCAAAGUCCAUACCUAUGCUAGAGAUAAGUACUGAACUACUACAGAAGGUCCCAUAGAUUUCUGAGUUCUCCUCACUGAAACCCAUGUUAUGGAGGCUUAUUCUUAGUUAUGAAUGCCUGGCCUUAGCUUGGCUUGUUGCUAGCCAGAUUUUCUUAAAUUAACCCAUCUACCUUUUCCCUCUGGGCUUUGAUCUUUCUUACCUCUCUAUAUCUUACUUUCCUUCUUACUCCAUGGCUGGCUGGGUGACUGGGUGGCUGGCUCUGGAUGUUCUCCUCUCCUUGUUCUCUUGUUCUUUUCUCCUCUUCUUCCUCAGUUCUUCUUCUGUUUAUUCUCUCUGCCUGCCAGUCCUGUAUACCAUUGCUGCUGCCUUGCUAUUGGCCAUUCAGCUCUUUAUUAGACCAUCAGGUGUUUUAGAUAGGCACAGUAACACAGCUUCACAGAGUUAAACAAAUGCAGCAUAAACAAAAGUCACACACCUUAACAUAAUAUUCCCAAGCAGGAGUCUAUGAUAUACUUCAAACAAACUGUCUUCAUGAAAUUCAUUACAUCGGACAAUAUGUUGCAAGAUAUUCAUUUAUACUAUGUGAAGAUGUAUCACUGUGAUUGGUUUAAUAAAGAGCUGAAUGGUCAAUAGCUAGGCAGGAAGAGUUUCGGUGGGAAUUCUGGGGACAGAGAGGUCUCAGGGAAGAAGAAAGCAGGAGUUGCCAGCCAGACACAGAGGAGGUAGGUCAUGUAGGAGGAGAGGUAAAAGCCACAAGUCAUAUGGCAGCAAAUAGCUUAAAAUAAAUGGGUUAAUUUAUGAUGUAAGAACUAGUGUGACAAGCUUAAGCUAAGGCCAAGCUUCCAUAAUUAAUAUGAAGUCUCCAUGUCAUUUUUUGUGAACCAGCAGCCCAAAGGAAAGUCAGACUAUACAUGGAGCCCAACAUCCAGCCAUAUACGUCCACAUUAAGGCCUGAGAAAGCUUAAAAGAAAAAAAACAGAUUGGAACACUGAGUCAGAUAUAACUUCCUGGUGACCAUGGUGUCUUAGGUAGUCUCAGAGGUUUACAGAGCUGUGGCUACCAGCUACUGCCUGCAUUCCAGCCACCAGUGCCAUGUUCUAGUGCUAUGAUCUAAGCUGAGCCAUGUGGUGACUAACAUAGCAGUUUAAGAUUUGUCUCUAAUGGUCAGAGAACACUACAGUUGCUCAGUAAAGACAGAUCCAAGCAGAAAGAAAAAAAAACCCUCUAAACAGGUUAGAGUGUAUUUUAAAAAUGUGUGUAGGCUUUAAACAAAAGAAAAUACAUAUAGACAGUCAUAGAAAAAAUAGUUUAUAAAUAAGAAGAUAAAGUCUUUAAAGAGAGAAUAAAAUAAUAUAAAAAGGAUAAGCCAUGUAAAGAUGGAAAAUACAGAAAGUCUGGAUCCUUUAUGUUGUGUCCUUGACUUUAAGUUUUUUGAUUGCUGAUGAGUGAAUGACAGCUGCUAAGAGGGAUUGUAAAAGGUACUGAUGGAUUAAACCAGCCUAAAUACUCUAGGAAUUUUAAAAUGUGUAGCAUUGGGGAAGAGGUUAUGCUUUUGUUUCCACAGGAAAUGAAAGGCUAAGGAUUCUUUCAAGGCUUGAUCGGGAGAGACCUCCUGAAAAUCUUGACAACAGAUAUAAAAAUAUAAACCUAAAAAACCCUACAAAAUAGGUGACAUAUAUUUUACCUGAUCAAACAUAAAACAAAAAUCAUCUUUGCCUGGCUUGUGUAUAACACACAGUCCAUACUUGUGUUAAUGCAGAUAUGUAUGCUACUUUUGAAAGUUUGUGUGUUUUUAAAGCAAGGGGAACAGACACCAAUGGAAGCAGGUAGCCCAGAUGAUCCAGCCUCUCAGAGUGCGUCUGUUGAAGUUUCCUCAGAACUCUACAUCCAGAACAGCUUCAAGGCUCCUGGCUGAUAUGGUGUAGCCUCACACUAUUCUAUCCAGGACUGCAGAUGAGCCUUGUGCUUUCCCAGUACAGAGACUGGACUAAAAAAAUGUUAUGGCUAGCUCUCCCAGGAUUUGACCAUUAUUUUAAUUUUCUCAGGAUCUCUCAAAGUUGCCAUUUCCUACAGACAACAGAAAUCAGUUUAGACAACAUAAUGCCCAUAUUCCCAAGAGGUGGGGUGGGUGGGUUUUGGUCAUUCAAUUAGUUAUGGAUGUUUGUCAUGGUUUAGGGAGUUGUUCAUAAAUUGUUAUUGGUCAUGGUCAAGAAGGAAGCUAAACAAAGGAGAUUAGAUUCAGGGAUCUCUUUCUGAAGGGAAAAGGGAGAUAUAGUAAAAAAAAAAUGAUGAGAAAAAAGGUUAGUUUGUUGAGUCUACUUUUGAGCAACCACUAGUCUCAAAUAUUUUACAUUGGUAUGGAUUUUUGUAUGUUGAUAUAAAUUUAAGGUUAUUUUUGUUAUACUGUAUAUAUUUCUUUAUUCUAAUUUAAGGUAUUGUACCUAUGCAGCUCAUUUACAAAUGUAAUGUGAAGUUUUAGUCCUUGAAAACUAUUCAGGAUAAUUAAAAAAUACAGGUUAAUGGUCAUCUAUAACAAUAAAACUUAUAGUUAUAUAAGGCAUGUUUUUAAAGUCAUACAAACACAUAUUUUAGAUGUAGAGGUGAUCUUCAAACACUAAAAAGAUCUGCAGUGUAUGGCAUUUUAAAUGUUAUAAUAAUAUAAGGCUUUUCAUGAGACACAUCUGCUCCUGGCAGCACCAAUUUACUUCAAAUAAAGAUGAUGGGCAUUAAAGAACCUUCAUAUGGAGUUUGCUUUCUUUGUGGUAAAAGAAAGGCAUUCAGGCAAGAAACUGCCCUUGCCUCGACUGCUGACAGUAUGCUGUCCAAACUAUACAAACAGGACACUAAAGAAGGCUACUGCCAAACUUUGCCAAGACAAAAUAGGACAGUCCUUCAAAAUCCCUGCUUCACAGAAAAGUCUGUCAGAUAUUCUAGGCCUGUAGGGGAAAAGAUGGAUGCUCCAAUGUUACAGAGGAACCUUGGGAUGAAUGUCCAGGCAGGCAGAUGUCUCUGUCAUUGUAAGGGAAGCUGUAGCCAUGCCUACUUAGGGGCUGGCUACAGGUGUGCCUGACCAAGCUUGAGAGGGCAUGGUAGGGUGACGUAGAGCGAGACUGGAAGGGGACUGCGUUUUCUCUUUCGGUUUCUCUUUUGGGCUUGCUGUACAGACUGCUGCCAUGCCGGCUGGCUAGGUCGCUCUGUAGUAAGGCUUUUCCCUAUUAAAUACCCUUAUAUUUCUACCUGACUCCAUAUUGAUAAUUUCCCACUAUAUGUCAUUUCCUAGUUUUAGAAGUUACUUGCUCUGCACUUCUUGUUUACUCAAGUAAUGCUACAUCCUUCUGGGAUCUUUGAUGGGUUUGAAGGCUAGAUUGUUAUAGUUACUGUUUCCCUUAGUCAUGAUAGAUAGUAAAUUACGUGUGAAACUUUGGACUCAUCAAGAGAAAAUAGAUAAUGGAGUAUUUUCUAUGAAUUUGACAAAUACAAAUGGAUUAGACAUUGUAAAUGUAAUUCUUACCUGGUAAUUGUUAUUAUUGUUUAUAGUUUCAUAAUGUUAGAAUUAAAGUCUUUCAUUUUUAUUUGGAAAAAAGGGGGGAAAUGUUGCCAAUUAUUCCUUUACAUUGUAUAAACAUGUGUCAUGGUGAUUGAUUUAGUAAAGAGCUGAAUGGCCAAUAGCUAGGCAGGAAGAGGUUAUGUGGGACUUCUAGGGACAGAGAGGUCUCAGGGAGGAAGAAAGGAGGAGUCACCAACUAGAUGCAGAGGAAGCAGAACAUGUAGGAAGAGAGGUAAAAGCCUGGAGCCAUGUGGCAGCACAUAGAUUAAAAUAAAUUGGUUAAUUUAAGUUAUAAGAGCUAAUGGGACAAGCCUAAGCUAAGGCCAAGCUUUCAUAAUUAAUAAGAAGUCUCCAUAUUUUGUGAGCUGGCAGCCCAAAGGAAAGUUCUGG